ACUUGAUGAUUACCUAGAUGACGAGUCAGAUGUGUUGCACAAUGCUGACAACUUUAUUUUUUACCAUUCAUGCCUUUCUGAUG
rnacentral:snoRNA from 1 species